rnacentral:rRNA from 1 species
GAUGAACGCUAGCUACAGGCUUAACACAUGCAAGUCGAGGGGCAGCAUGGUCUUAGCUUGCUAAGGCCGAUGGCGACCGGCGCACGGGUGAGUAACACGUAUCCAACCUGCCGUCUACUCUUGGACAGCCUUCUGAAAGGAAGAUUAAUACAAGAUGGCAUCAUGAGUCCGCAUCGUUCACAAUGAUUUAAAGAUAUUCCGGUAGACGAUGGGGAUGCGUUCCAUUAGAUAGUAGGCGGGGUAACGGCCCACCUAGUCUUCGAUGGAUACGGGGUUCUGAGAGGAAGGUCCCCCACAUUGGAACUGAGACACGGUCCAA